ensembl:lncRNA
GUGUGUGUGUGUGUGUGUUUGGCUGUCAGCCUGAAAGCUGCAUCUAGCGUGAUUCACAGGCUCUGACGUGUCACUACAUCGCUAGUGGCUUUGACCUUUGACCCGUGUGACCUGUCUGUACCCGCGCUGCACAUCUCGGCCUCUCGCCGCUGGACUCUUUAGAGGACUCAGUAGACUGCCAUCAGGCAGCUCCGUCUCUCUCUGCUUCUUCUUUUCUCUCUCUCUCUUCCUCCUGCUUCCUCUGCUGGGCUGUGAGACCCCGAAGCAGCUUGUUAGUGGUGGGCCAAGUAUUGAUCUGGCAGGUCUGUCGAUGCGGGGAGAUUGAGCCGAGCUCCACUAGAGACUCUCCACCAGCAGGCUGCUAUUGACACACUGCACACACACACAAACAGAGCAGCGGCCCGCAGGAGACUCUUCACAGGCAAGAUGCUAUCGACGUUUUCUCGACUCGGCCGACACAACUGCUCACUGUAUGACAAGGCUGAGACCGGCCCGAGUCCCCAGAGAGCUGCGCUGACACGACACGGUGACCCGCGCGUUAGUUUUUCUUUACUUUCAGCGCGCUCAUCCAGGUUUUUCCCACCCUAACGCGCUCCACGGGGAGGCUGGCUCUUCCUCUGACUAGUGAUCAAGCCAGUUUAUUGGCAGAAGAGGACACGACUAGAAAACAGUUCCAGAACAGUUCAACCCAAAUAUUCAGAUGUGUGCAGCGCAU